UCCAGCUCCAAUAGCGUAUAUUAAAGUUGUUGCAGUUAAAACGCUCGUAGUCGGAUUUCGGGUCGGUUGCGCCGGUCUGCCGAUGGGUAUGCACUGGCGGAGUCGGCCUUUCUUCCGGAGACCGCGCCUCCUCUUAGCUGAGCGGGUGCGGGAGACGGAUCGUUUACUUUGAAAAAAUCAGAGUGUUUCAAGCAGGCAGCUCGCUCUUGCAUGGAUUAGCAUGGGAUAAUGAAAUAGGACUCUGGUGCUAUUUUGUUGGUUUCGAACACCGGAGUAAUGGUCAACAGGGACAGUCAGGGGCACUCGUAUUCCGCCGAGAGAGGUGAAAUUCUCGGAUU
rnacentral:rRNA from 1 species